rnacentral:rRNA from 1 species
AGGGUUUGAUCCUGGCUCAGAUUGAACGCUAGCGGGAUGCCUUACACGUGCAAGUCGAACGGCAGCACGGACUUCGGUCUGGUGGCGAGUGGCGAACGGGUGAGUAAUGUAUCGGAACGUGCCCAGUAGCGGGGGAUAACUACGCGAAAGCGUAGCUAAUACCGCAUACGCCCUACGGGGGAAAGCAGGGGAUCGUAAGACCUUGCACUAUUGGAGCGGCCGAUAUCGGAUUAGCUAGUUGGUGGGGUAACGGCUCACCAAGGCGACGAUCCGUAGCUGGUUUGAGAGGACGACCAGCCACACUGGGACUGAGACACGGCCCAGACACCUACGGGAGGCAGCAGUGGGGAAUUUUGGACAAUGGGGGAAACCCUGAUCCAGCCAUCCCGCGUGUGCGAUGAAGGCCUUCGGGUUGUAAAGCACUUUUGGCAGGAAAGAAACGUCAUGGGUUAAUACCCCGUGAAACUGACGGUACCUGCAGAAUAAGCACCGGCUAACUACGUGCCAGCAGCCGCGGUAAUACGUAGGGUGCAAGCGUUAAUCGGAAUUACUGGGCGUAAAGCGUGCGCAGGCGGUUCGGAAAGAAAGAUGUGAAAUCCCAGAGCUUAACUUUGGAACUGCAUUUUUAACUACCGGGCUAGAGUGUGUCAGAGGGAGGUGGAAUUCCGCGUGUAGCAGUGAAAUGCGUAGAUAUGCGGAGGAACACCGAUGGCGAAGGCAGCCUCCUGGGAUAACACUGACGCUCAUGCACGAAAGCGUGGGGAGCAAACAGGAUUAGAUACCCUGGUAGUCCACGCCCUAAACGAUGUCAACUAGCUGUUGGGGCCUUCGGGCCUUGGUAGCGCAGCUAACGCGUGAAGUUG